rnacentral:rRNA from 1 species
AUUGAACGCUGGCGGCAGGCCUAACACAUGCAAGUCGAACGAGUGGCGGACGGGUGAGUAAUGUCUGGGAAACUGCCCGAUGGAGGGGGAUAACUACUGGAAACGGUAGCUACUACCGCAUACACGCGGAUGUGACCAGGUGGGAUUAGCUAGUAGGUGGGGUAACGGCUCACCUAGGCGACGAUCCCUAGCUGGUCUGAGAGGAUGACCAACCACACUGGAACUGAGACACGGUCCAGACUCCUACGGGAGGCGGCAGUGGGGAAUGUUGCACAAUGGGCGCAAGCCUGAUGCAGCCAUGCCGCGUGUAUGUAGAAGGCCUUCGGUUUGUAAAGUACUUUCAGCGAGGAGGCGUUACUCGCAGAAGAAGCACCGGCUAACUCCGUGCCAGCAGCCGCGGUAAUUC